GGUGAGAAGGGAAUACACUUUAGACACAACAUGGGGAAAGAUGGAAGGUCAGCCACAAUGGACAGCGAGCUGGACAGUUGGAUGGAAUGGAGAAUUCAGGAAAGCCUAAUGAGACAAGACUGACAAGAUGAGGGAACUCUUACAAGUGGAUACCACCCAACAGACACAGCAAUCAGAGACAAGUCCCUAGUGGAUGUCAUCAGAUUUUAUUCUUGAGUUCUUUAAGUUGGUGAGUAUAACUAGACUGCCACCUCUGGCCACACAAAAAGGUCUGUUGUCAUCUGUGACAGGAUCCUGGGGAAUUGACUUUGCCCAAGGUCACUGGUGAGUCACCAGUGUGGCCUGGUUUUGAAAGC